AAUACUUUAGCCUUAUAUAAAAUUAAUCGUUUAUAAGAUAAAAUCUUGUAUUUUCAUAAAAAUCCAUUGAAAUAUUUGUUAACACCAGAUGAUUGGGCUUGCAUGCACGAGAAUGCGUUUUAAAAUCUAUAUGCGAAGCAAAUCAAUUUAAAUUCUAUAAUGAAAUGGGUGACUUGUGGCAUGAAGUUGCUCAUAUUUUAUUUUCGCCUUUUUCAAGCGUAGACCCUAUAAGAGACGACAUAGCCAGAGAAUAUUUCGCGGCAGCAUAUUAUGGUUUGGCUUUUAAAUGCAACAAGGUCUUUACAAAGUGUCCCAAAUCGCUGUUAAACGCAUUCUCUGUUAUAUUCUAGUUUAAUGCUGGAUAUAAUGGACAUUUGUUCACGGAACGAUGUGUCACUACUUCAGUGAAGUCGACUUAUAUUUCAUAUUUUGAAUUGGUUCAUAAAAUUUAUUCUCAUAUUUAUUUUGGAUAAUAGAGAUACUAAGGAUAACUUUAAA